GAUUUAAUGAGAUCAAACCUGAUUAUAAGAAAAAUUAGUUUCUGAUUUGAUCAGAACUUGGAUUUAGUUAAUUUUUAAUUAGAUUAAGAAUAUAUUGAGGAGAUUGUAUUUCUAAUUAGUUUAGGUUUCUUUCUCUCAUUGGGUCUAAAUCAAAUCUAAUUUAGAUUGGAAUCAAAUAAGAAACCCUAGAGUUCCAACCACCUGGGAUUGUCUCCCUAGCGCAUGCCUUAGGACCAUGCCACUUAUUACAUGCAAAAGGAGUUUUGCAUGAGGUAUUUUGGUGUGAGAAAGGAGGGCAC
rnacentral:lncRNA from 1 species